CAAACUCUCUUAACUGAUAUUCAAGAGAAAAGGAUUCUAGAAAGAUUCAUAGAAUUAGAAGAACUUUCUCUCUUGGGCGAGAUGAUAAAAGGGAAACUAAAGACACAUGUACAAAAACCUCCUACAAGAAUACACAAGGAAAUAAUACAAUGGAUGAAAAUAAAUAAUGAGGAUCAUCUCCAUACCAUUUUGCAUUUCUCGACAAAUAUAAUCUGUUUGGCUAUUCUAAGUGGUUCUUUUUUUCUGGUAAAGAGGAACUUGUCAUUUUUGAAUUAA
rnacentral:rRNA from 1 species